CGGACCGGUCAGACAGUCGCUGGCAGUCGUUCUUUUGAAGGAUGACUGCUGGAGGAAAGUCCGGGCUCCGCAGGGCAGGGUGCCAGGUAACGCCUGGGGGUCGCACUGGCAACGGUGAGGCUACGGCUAGUGCCACAGAAAAUAUACCGCCGGUUUCUCCUCUGGAUGGAUCGGUAAGGGUGAAAAGGUGCGGUAAGAGCGCACCGCGCCGCUGGUAACAGCGGUGGCAGGGUAAACCCCACCCGGAGCAAGACCAAAUAGGGAUCCUAUGGCGUGGCCCGCGCUGGAUCCGGGUAGGU
rnacentral:RNase_P_RNA from 1 species